rnacentral:rRNA from 2 species
AUCUGGGCGACGAAAUUCAGAAUGACUGGCCGGCCUCGUGCAUGUCGGUCGUUUGAUAUUUUCGUUGCCGUGUCAGACGUCGCGAUCUGUUUGUUGUCGGUCCUUGCUCGGAGGAGUUGCGAUCGAGUUUGUUGUGGACGCGUUUCGGCGUGUCAUACGGCAAAGACGCGAAUCUCUGGCCGACAACGGACAGUAAGCAGUGGUAGCCGACGCUGUGUUACGGCACGGUGUUGGUACCGAUCAGCGACGAUUUCUUCGGGCCUCUUUCCGACCCGUCUUGAAACACGGACCAAGGAGUCUAACAUGCGCGCGAGUCGCGGGGUAUCGAGCGUACUACGGUGCGUUCGGUCUUCAUGAAACCCGUAUGUUGAAGGCGUAAUGAAAGUGAACAGGGAAGAUGGUGUUCCGAGUAUACGUACCGUGAAAUUUCGCGGCCGGACACCCGCAUUCCCGGGGCGUCUUAAUGGUUCAUCGCGGAUGCGGAUUGUCGUCUCUCGGGGCGGCAGUCGGUCUGCGAUGGUCCGA